UACAGAGGUCUCAAGCGUUGUUCGGAUUCAUUGGGCGUAAAGGGUGUGUAGGUGGCGCCGUAAGUCGGGUGUGAAAUUUCGGAGCUUAACUCCGAAACUGCAUUCGAUACUGCGGUGCUUGAGGACUGGAGAGGAGACUGGAAUUCAUGGUGUAGCAGUGAAUGCGUAGAGAUCAUGAGGAAGACCAGUGGCGAAGGCGGGUCUCUGGACAGUUCCUGACACUGAGACACGAAGGCCAGGGAGCAAACGG
rnacentral:rRNA from 1 species